UGAAGGGAGUUACAUUUCAAGGUUGAGGAACCUUGCACGUUUAUAUAUGCUUUCACAUUUUUUAGACUUGUACAUUAAUGAUUAUGAAUUUAAUUUAUUUUGAACUCCCUUAAAAAUACUAUUCAUGAGGGUAUGCAUGGUUUUAAAAAUUCAAAUGAUGAUGGAACCAUAUGCAUAGCGUAGAAGAUGCGAUCACGAGCCUUUGCAUAUUAUUUCACAUUUUUGGCACCUGUAAAUGAAUUAUUAUAAUUUUUUUGAAUGUGUUUGGUAUUUUUAAAUUACUUGAUACUUUUAGUUUUAAUGUGUUCUAUAAUU
rnacentral:lncRNA from 1 species